rnacentral:lncRNA from 1 species
UCCCGAUAACCAUUCAAAUACAGAGAAAAUUCUCUAACUGCGAUGACAACUUCGAUAUUGAUUCUUCUAUUCCAUAGUUCAUCAUCUCAAUUGCUUCCGUCUUGAACGCACGGACAACAAUUUAGGUAGCUUCGACGAGGUCGAGUAGAACUACGGUAAAGCUUUUUUGCUUAGGCUUCGCUGGAUCUGUUCUGCUCAUCACGCUCACGGAGCUUGUCGAGGACGAAGGCUUGGAACAGGUGAGAGUUCAACGUCCACAGUAGAGAGGGAGCCAUGUCGCCUAAAUUAUUGUGCUCUGGUGCUCAGCAAACGACAGGCCAAAUCCCGGACUAAAAGAAACACUGCGAGUCGAGUUCGUCAUGUGCUAGUGUCCGUGAUUUGGAGCCUCAAACCACUCUCUUCUCCUCUUCCUUCCUCCCUCCUUCCCUCCCUUUGGCGCGCAAGCAAUCGCAGUCUCAU